CUAGCACGCGGGCUGCUAUGCGACGAUGCAACGAAUUUCCCCGUACCAUGUCAGGACUACAAAGUUCGAUAUUUCUGCAAUUGCUACGCCCUGCAGACGCUACCGGUAACUGUCGGCUCCAACACACCAACAUUGAAUCCUGGUUCUACCCUGAAACCAUUUAAACAAUUGCCCACCCUGCCCGGUGGCCAUAUUGGGUCCCACACACCCACAUUAAUUCCUCCUGGCGGAUCUACAAAAACACCAUACCUUGACAACUGCUCUACAACCAACCACAUAUUUUCCACAACACCAACAGAGGCUCCUGUGCCGUGCACUAGCCAGUGGUCAAGUUGGAUCAACACGGACACCCCGGACAGCGGCGAUGGCGAUAGAGAG